CCCACUAUUUUUUGUGAAUUGGUAGCCUCUACCUUCAACUAGAGGAAUUACAUUAAUUCUUUAGCGGAUACUAGAAUCCACACGGACUGCACUCGGGUCCGAGUAUGGCUCGACCAACCCUAGUACAUCCAUGGGUAGGUUCAUAAUUAAUUAUUUCUCAAAACAACUUCUAGCAUUGGGUUUUCCCUAGACAUCCCUUCAGCAGGCGUGUGGUGCCUCUACUGAAAAUCCUGGUUAGGUCCAACC
rnacentral:lncRNA from 1 species